UACGUAGGUGGCGAGCGUUGUCCGGAUUUACUGGGCGUAAAGGGAGCGUAGGCGGACUUUUAAGUGAGAUGCGAAAUACUCGGGCUCAACUUGAGUGCUGCAUUUCAAACUGGAAGUCUAGAGUGCAGGAGAGGAGAAUGGAAUUCCUAGUGUAGCGGUGAAAUGCGUAGAGAUUAGGAAGAACACCAGUGGCGAAGGCGAUUCUCUGGACUAUGACUGACGCUGAGGCUCGAAAGCGUGGGGAGCAAACAGG
rnacentral:rRNA from 1 species